CAAUGCCCUGUCAUGUCCUCUAGUAGACUGAAAAUUGAAUUAUCAUGUGUUAGCUUAUUCUGGAAUUUAAACUUGGCUGGUUUCUUUGACUAUUCUAAUCUCUCCUGUCCUGACCUUGGCUUGUCAUACCAUCAUGUUGUCUCUCUACACCCCCUGACCUCGGCCUAUUCUUGACUAUUCUUGUUAUUAUUAUUAAAGUGAAGUCCAGCCAUUUCAGGACACUUUGUCAAUCCUGACAUUAACAAUAAAUAUCCAAUCUUGAAAAAGCUUGAGCUGCCCCAAGGAAGAAAUUAAAUGUUUCACUAAUCAGGCAUUGUUCCC